GCUUCGAUGGCGCAGUUGGUAGCGCACGCCCUUGGUAUGGGCGCGGCCGUCGGUUCGAUCCCGACUCGAAGCACCA
rnacentral:tRNA from 2 species